CUACACAUGCAGUCGAGCGGAUGAGAAGAGCUUGCUCUUCGAUUCAGCGGCGGACGGGUGAGUAAUGCCUAGGAAUCUGCCUGGUAGUGGGGGACAACGUUUCGAAAGGAACGCUAAUACCGCAUACGUCCUACGGGAGAAAGCAGGGGACCUUCGGGCCUUGCGCUAUCAGAUGAGCCUAGGUCGGAUUAGCUAGUUGGUGAGGUAAUGGCUCACCAAGGCGACGAUCCGUAACUGGUCUGAGAGGAUGAUCAGUCACACUGGAACUGAGACACGGUCCAGACUCCUACGGGAGGCAGCAGUGGGGAAUAUUGGACAAUGGGCGAAAGCCUGAUCCAGCCAUGCCGCGUGUGUGAAGAAGGUCUUCGGAUUGUAAAGCACUUUAAGUUGGGAGGAAGGGCAUUAACCUAAUACGUUAGUGUUUUGACGUUACCGACAGAAUAAGCACCGGCUAACUCUGUGCCAGCAGCCGCGGUAAUACAGAGGGUGCAAGCGUUAAUCGGAAUUACUGGGCGUAAAGCGCGCGUAGGUGGUUUGUUAAGUUGGAUGUGAAAGCCCCG
rnacentral:rRNA from 1 species